UACGGAGGGGGCUAGCGUUGUUCGGAAUUACUGGGCGUAAAGCGCACGUAGGCGGCCACUGCAAGUCGGUUGUGAAAUCUCCGGGCUUAACCCGGAAAGGUCAACCGAUACUGCAGGGCUAGAGUGCAGAAGGGGCAACUGGAAUUCUCGGUGUAGCGGUGAAAUGCGUAGAUAUCGAGAGGAACACCUGCGGCGAAGGCGGGUUGCUGGGCUGACACUGACGCUGAUGCGCGAAAGCUAGGGGAGCGAACGGG
rnacentral:rRNA from 1 species